rnacentral:rRNA from 1 species
UACGAAGGGGGCUAGCGUUGUUCGGAAUUACUGGGCGUAAAGCGCACGUAGGCGGACAUUUAAGUCAGGGGUGAAAUCCCGGGGCUCAACCCCGGAACUGCCUUUGAUACUGGGUGCCUAGAGUAUGGAAGAGGUGAGUGGAAUUCCGAGUGUAGAGGUGAAAUUCGUAGAUAUUCGGAGGAACACCAGUGGCGAAGGCGGCUCACUGGUCCAUUACUGACGCUGAGGUGCGAAAGCGUGGGGAGCAAACAGG